rnacentral:lncRNA from 1 species
CCCUAUCUGACAAAGCGCCUUCGCUAAAUACGCUACAGUAGCCCACAGGGAUCUUUUUUAAGGUUUCCCCAAGAGUGACUUUUUAUUCCCCUCCUAUCUUCCCUAGAAUUUUCUUUUGUUUGAAACCGCAACCUCAGUUUUUUAAAAUUCCAUGAAUGAAAAACCAUGAAUAUUUUAGAAAACAUUCAGGUUAUAGAAGUGGCCACAUUUGUUGAUUUCUUAAAUAAAGCUGAAGUUCUCUGUCCGUUGCUAUAUGGUAAGCCCUAGGGCUCAAUUCAGAUAAGUGUACUGUGUUUCACUGCCAAAAAAAACAUCCGUUUUCUUCUACAGUCACCAUAAACCAACAACCCUAGAAAAACCUGCUUUGUUGUCCUGAAGGAGCUGUUAUUGUUCAGAAUAUUUUACAUGUGAAUUUCUGCUCCAGCUGGCUGGGGACCAUCAUGACAAGGGAAUGUGAUCAAGAAGACAAACACAUAGAUAUCAUGAAGAAAAGAAAACGGAAGAUACCAAUAUACUUUAUUCUGAGCCAAGGCAAAGUCCAUCUGACAACAGCAGAUUGGACAAUAACUGAAAAUGUAGUCUGUAAGGAAGCUUAAUAAUAAGAUAUACAUCUCUUUAUAUUUCACUAAAUGGCUAAAGAAUGCGGAAAACUUAUGUUUAUACAAAAACCAGCAGACUGACAUUUAUAGCAGCUUUAUCCAUAACUGUCAACAUUUGGAAGCAACCAAGAUGUCCUUUAGCAGGUGAAUUGAUAAAUAAAACUGUGGCACAUCCAGACAAGGGAAUAUUAUUCAGCACUAAAAAUAAAGGAGCUAUCAAGCCAGGAAAAAACAAGGAGGAAACUCACAUGCAUAUUGCUAAGUAAAAGAAGCCAGCCUGGAAAAGCUGCAUACUGUAUGAUUCCAACUCUGUGACAUUCUGGAAAAGUAAAACCCUGGAGGCAGUAAAGAGAUCAGUGGUUGCCAGAAGUUAGGAGGAAAGGAGGGAUGAAUAGGCAGGGCACAGAGGAUUUUUAGGGCAGUGAAACUACUCUGUGUGGUCCUGUAAUGGUGGUUUAAUGUCAUUAUGCAUUUGGCCACACCCAUAGAAUGUACACCACCAAGAGUGAACUCUAAUGUAAACUGUGGACUUUGGGUGAUAAUGAUGUGUCAGUGUGGGUUCAAUUGUAACAAAUGUGCCACUCUGGUGGGGGAUGGUGAUAAUGCGGAGCUGUGCACGUGGGGUGGGCAGGGGCAUGCGGGAAAUCUCUGUCCCUUCCUCUCAAUUUUGCAGUAAACUUUAAAGCUCUUAAAAAGUAAGUAUUUUUUAAACAAGAAAGAAACAAGGUGAACUAAAUGUACAGCUAGAUCUAACAUAAGGAAAUAAGAAUUGCUAUUAAUUUACAUAUAUUAACUAAUUAAUUGUGAACCUUUUUAAAAUACCAUUGUGAACUGUAAUGUAUUUUAUAUUCAAAUGAAUCCUCAGCCUUCUUCAUUGUAAAUAUUAGCUGAACAAAUGAGUAAAUAAAAAUCGACUUCAUAGAAAAUCAAGUGAGUCCGGUCAUAGCCAGAUAACAGUGUUUAACCCACAAAAGAUAUGCAAUUGUUCUUUAAAACAGUAAGAGGAUUAAUACAAAAUUAUUAAAGUUUAUAUUAAAGACAUAAAUGUAAUCUUUACAAAUAAUUUUCUUAUGGAUAAAUUAUGCUUACUGUAGUUAUUAGCCGGAACUUGCAAUAAUCUCCAUAUUAAGACAACCAAGACAACAAUUAGUUUGUUUUAAGGCACCUGCCAACUUAUAUACUAGAAAAUAAAAGUUUUCCAAGUGAAAAAACAGCUUUGCUCAGAAUUUAAAACACUCUACUGGAUAGCCUGCUUAACAGCACUAGGAAAACAAAAAUUCUAUGCAUCAAAAGAUGAAUGAAAAGAGAAACAAUAAACCAGGAUGAAGAUACAUACAAACCCAAUGGCUUCAUAUCUAGAAUACAUAAAGAACUCCCACAAAUCAAUAAGAAAAAGAGAAGCAGCCCAAUAGAAAAAUGGCAAAGUAUGUGAACACAGAAUCUAUGAAAGAGAAAAUUCAAAUACUCCAAAACAUUUUUAAAUAUGUUCAACCUCUGG